ACCUUGAUGGUGCAAUGGUAUCACGCGUCCCCGGUACGGAUGAAACGCGGGUUCGACUCCCGCCUGAGGCC